AAUUCGCCCUUAGCAUGGAAUAAUGGAAUAGGACUCGCGUCUUAUUUUGUUGGUUUGGAGAUGUGAGUAAUGAUGAAUAGGGACAGUUGGGGGCAUUGGUAUUCAGUAGUCAGAGGUGAAAUUCUUGGAUUUACUGAAGACUAACUAGUGCGAAAGCAUUUGCCAAGGAUGUUUUCAUUGAUCAAGAACGAAAGUUAGGGGAUCGAAGACGAUUAGAUACCGUCGUAGUCUUAACCAUAAACGAUGCCGACUAGGGAUCGGCGGAUGACGUUUAGCGUUGCCGCCGGGACCUUGCGAGAAAUCAAAGUUUUUGGGUUCUGGGGGGAGUAUGGUCGCAGGGCUGAAACUUAAAGGAAUUGACGGAAGGGCACCACCAGGAGUGGAGCCUGCGGCUUAAUUUGACUCAACACGGGAAAACUCACCAGGUCCGGACAUGGUAAGGAUUGACAGAAUGAGAGCUCUUUCAAGAUUCUAUGGGUUGUGGUGCAUGGCCGUUCUUAGUUGGUGGAGUGAUUUGUCUGGUUAAUUCCGAUAACGAACGAGACCUCUACCUGUCAUACUACGACUGUUGAUGUGAAUCGGCAGGCGUUCUAUGAGGGACUGACUGGGGUUACCAGUAGGAAGUUUGAGGCAAUAACAGGUCUGUGAUGCCCUUAGAUGUUCUGGGCUGCACGCGCGCUACACUGAUGGAGGCAGCGAGUCUUACCUGUACCGGAAGGUAUGGGAAAUCUUGUGAAACUCCAUCGUGCUGGGGAUAGGGCAUUGCAAUAAGGGCGAAUU
rnacentral:rRNA from 1 species